CUAUCCUUUGUUCCUUACACAACUUCACAACAAGACAUUACAAUGGUGUUUAUUAGAAGUAAAGUUUCAAAAUCCAUGGAAGCCAUUGAUUCUAUUGAGGUACCUUGUAAUACUCCUCGAGUCCUCAUCCUCGAAAUGAAGAUUUGAGCAGAUGGGCUUUUGGAGGUUGGAAUCAAAGGAAGCAUCGGAUUUGAGGGGGUUUUCGAACAUUCUCUUGGCUAUUUA